rnacentral:rRNA from 1 species
GACGAACGCUGGCGGCGUGCUUAACACAUGCAGGUCGAACGGAAAGGCCCUGCUUUUGUGGGGUGCUCGAGUGGCGAACGGGUGAGUAACACGUGAGUAACCUGCCCUUGACUUUGGGAUAACUUCAGGAAACUGGGGCUAAUACCGGAUAGGAGCUCCUGCUGCAUGGUGGGGGUUGGAAAGUUUCGGCGGUUGGGGAUGGACUCGCGGCUUAUCAGCUUGUUGGUGGGGUAGUGGCUUACCAAGGCUUUGACAGGUAGCCGGCCUGAGAGGGCGACCGGUCACAUUGGGACUGAGAUACGGCCCAGACUCCUACGGGGGGCAGCAGUGGGGAAUAUUGCACAAUGGGCGGAAGCCUGAUGCAGCAACGCCGCGUGCGGGAUGACGGCCUUCGGGUUGUAAACCGCUUUCGCCUGUGACGAAGCGUGAGUGACGGUAAUGGGUAAAGAAGCACCGGCUAACUACGUGCCAGCCGCCGCAGUAA